ensembl:lncRNA
GCCUUUUAUUAUCCCUAGGGCUGAAUCACAACUGUUAUGGGGCUUUCCCCAUUUAGGGGCAUGUCUGUACGACCCCCGUCCAUUCCCGACUCCAGGGUGCUCACAGCUCCUCGAUGCCCAAUGUCUGGAUGGCCCUUGAGAGCUUCAGACAAACACAAUCAGUGAACAAGCAGCAGGAAAUCCCCUGAGAGAGUAACGGGGGAACAAAAGGACCCUAUGUGUUACACCAAUGUGGCAAAUAUAUAUAUAUUUUUUUAAGGAAAACAGCAUAAGGCAAGGAGCUGCUUGGACAAAGCAGUGCUGCACAUGUAUGCUAUGAACUCAGACUGGAACAGCCAAGGGCUACGGCAGCCAUCCAUUUUCAGGCUGAGCUUUAUGAAACCAGCAGUUCACCAGCAAGCAGGUAAAGGUGUGGUGAAGAAUCAGAACAUCAGAGACCCUGCUGGACAGCAGUCAUCUCCCUGGUGCUCUGUGAGGAAGGAGACAAAGAUGAAACGAAAUAGACCCAAGUUAAAAUGACUCUACUAGUGACAAUGCCAUGAAGACCAUGAAGACAUUAAGCUAAAUGCCAAGGGAAACUACAGAGACUGAACCACUAAGUGGUACAAGCAGUGCAAAAGCUACUGCGUGAGCCUAAAGUACUGCUUCAUCCACGAAGAUGUGAUGCAAAAGCUGCAGCAAAUGAACAUACAGCAGAUGCACAAGCAACAUGAAGCAAAGAGAGAAUGGCCAAUCCAGCGGCAUUUGGAGAAGGCUGGCUCUCAAACAUGCUACAAGCAGAACUUGGUGAGAGAAGAGCAAUGCAGCAGAACAUUACAACAGCAAUAUAGAGAGGGGAUGUGCAACAUUUAAAAAGAAAAAACAACACAAACUAACAAACAAAAAACCAUCCGGAGCACAACAGGCGUGUCUGCCUAGAAAAGUCCCCUGCACUGGGUAAGCUGUGAGGCAAUGGAGCCUAGCAAGGAAUAGAUUUGUAUGCCACAGAACAAAUCCACCUCUGGUCAGAGAGCUCUCAUCCAAACACAACUGCCUGCGGGAAUAUGAGCAAAAGGGUUCAACGAACUCUAGCUCAGGCAGCACAUCACACACGAAACACACUGUGGAGCCAAGGAAGCUGCAGCCUUACCACCACCCGGGCACUGAGGUUGGAGGUGCAGGGAUGGGAGCGCUGUCCAGGAUCCAGCCUGCAGGGGAAGGUCUUCAGUGCCACCGGUGAAUCACACAAGCAGGGCUCCAAGCAACUCGGAUCCCCUCUGAUACCGCUGCUCUGCUCCAUGCAUGAGCUCCCAACACGUGGUUUAAGAUCUUGCAUACAAGGACCAACUCCUCUUUGACAGCCAGGAGGGGAGAGCUAAAACUGAGAUGAAACCGAUAUGGGAUCAUACACAAGCAAUUUCCCAUCUUCAGGUUACAACCCCAUACCACACAGAGAAAGCAGCACAGCUGACAUCCAGAGAUAUUACAGAGACUCAGAGAUUAUUAGGACUUGUGAAUGAUCUAAUAAAACAUCUUCCUAGUCCUGCUGUCCCCUAAAGGCAAUGCCUGGACAAACACACAUUACAGCUGCAUUAAGACAACACAGCUGCUCUAUAAAACAAGAAGCUCUCUCAGAACUGCCAUAAUACGAAUGAAGGUGAAAUCAAACCACGCAGCAGUAGAGAGUGGGGGCCUAACUCAUUCCUCAUUCAAAGGAACAGCUAAUACCUGCAGUCAGAAUAAUCAGCGGAACAAGUCUGUCGUGCCUUAAACCUGCAAAUAAAGAAGGACACAGUGAAUAUAUUCAGUCCUUAAGGCUUCAGGAAUGAAACCUUGAACCAACAUUGAGUGCUUUUUUUAAAGCUGCAGUUUGCAGUACAAAAUAUCCCCUGCGCUACAACUGUCCCUGAGACACCAGUGCUCUGCCGUGCGUUGCAAAACAGGGGGUUGUCUACAUGGCCACACCUCUGCCACAGCAUUCACCCCACAUAUGCACGGAGUGUUGAGAUCUUCGCCCUACACAAGGUCAGAAAACUGCCCGCAGGCACUGGGUUAUGGAGCUGGAGCUCAGUGCUGGCAGUGCAGGUGGCUGGAGCACCAGCUGCGGAGCAGAGUGGUCUCUGGGUUGGGUUAUGGCAGAUAGCCCUGAGCUUCCUGCUCCGCCUGCAUGCUCCUGAGCAUCCUCCCUUCUCAGCAGGUUAAGUCAAAGAGGACUGAGGGUCUGGCAAGCGACAAAUAUGUGUAGAGAUGCUGAUCGGAAAAUGGAGCCAUACAAGAAAUGCAUGCUGUCCUUGUGAGGCCUUAAAGUGUAGCUGUUCUCAGUGCCCACACCUUAUCACUAACCACUUCCCUCAGCUUUCAGAGGCCUGUCAGACUGGCAGCUAUGGGAAGCACUAUGAAAAUAUAGCAAGCUGUUGGGCAGCAGGUUAAUCCCAGCACAUGCUCAUUCAGACAGCAGGCUCCAGAGUAUUGCUGUGCUUUACUACCUGGGAAGGAAAUAGAGACAGAUCAUUAGCACUAGGCCACAGUAACAGUACGAGUGAAAUCAGCAAUUCAAAUAGCUAUGAAUCAGCUGAAGGGAAACUAUAAAAAAAGAACUGAGAAGCUGGACAGAGGAAAAACUCCUGCAGAAGACCUGAGUGAUGCUGGGUGUCUGCACCCCGUCUCGCACCUCUCAUCGCUGGGUCACACCAGCUGCUAGUUCUGGAAAGAGCAACAAGUGAUAGGAAGAGCACGUAGGUGAUGGUCAGUGUUACUGUGAGGAGUCCCACGUUGGACCCUGGGAAGCACAGCCCCUUCCUGCAGGACCCACCACACGUGGUAAGGAAGCAUGCAUUGAUCACACCAGUCCCCAGUGCUGGAACACCCCUAUGCCAGCAGUGUAUUCCCCUGCAAACCUGAGAUGAAAGCAGCGAGCAGAGGAGCUGGAACACGAGCGGUGAGCUCAAUCAGCAGGAGGAAAGAAGGAGCACAGGUACUGGCAGAGGCUCUCACACUCACCACAGCAGAGAGGUCCUGCACGAGGCAAUUUCCUGCCAUCAUAUGAGAGAGGAUCCCACCCCCAACACUGCACACCUGCCACAGACAUGCUCUGCCUGCUUUUUCAGACAUAAGCUUCAGAUCACAAGAAACACACUGCUGAGCACAGCCAGAGCACCUGACACAGAUGGAGAGUGUGGGAUUCGGGCUCCUGCCUGCCGUGCCACGGGAAAGCAACAGUGCUGUGACAGAUGGCAGAGGGCACUGGGAUAAACUGGGACAGCAGGAGACCACAGAGCAUCCAUAUUUGAGGAUCCUGAGAACAAGAGGACACCCAUCUGCCAGGAAACAGCAAAGCAGCGUUGCUCUGAUCGGGGUGGGAGAGUCCCAGCCACUCAGCUCUGCAUGGCCAAGCCUCCCCCGAGACCCUGGGACAUUCUUUAGAGCUGUGACAUGAUACAGGGUUCAGACACCAAGUUUCCUCUGCCAGCACUGGGGAUGAUUAUCACCAUUCGGUUUGCCCAGAGAAGUGUGGGUGCCCCAUUCCUGGAGCUGUCCAAGGCCAGGUUGGAUUCAGCCCUGGGCAGCCUGAUGUCGUGGGUGGCCACCAACCCACUGCAGGGGCUGGAACUGGGUGAUCUUUGAGGCCCCUUUCAACACAAAUCAUUCCCUGAUUCAGAGUCACUCACAGUCAGUGAGAGGUGCUGCCGGCGCGGGCUGCAGUGGUUAUUGAUUUCCUACGUGACCUUGGGUAAGUCACUUAACCUCAGUUUCCUCAUCUGUAUAUUGGGAAUUAUGAGACUUGCAGAGUGCCACAAAUUCAUCAUAGGGAACUACUUAAGAGCCCUAUUAUGAGUUAAUGGGAUUUCCCACUUCAGAAUUACUCCUCCGAGGAUCGAAGCAGUUGGACUGGGAUAUUCAUAACCCUGAUUCCUACUGUACGUGCAAAGCUUUUUCUUCUACAGUUUUUCCUCCUAAAAUCACCCAUGUAAAUCAUCUAGCUUGGAGCACACAGUCUGAGCAUGUCCAGGUUCAAGGCUCUUUACAAACACUUGGUUAAAUGACUUUGGCCUUGUCAGUCAUCCACGCUAACGAGUCCCUCUCCUCAUCCAAUGCACGCGGCUUCCAACAUACGGAGUUUCACACCGUGUGCUGUUAUGGUGAGGAGCUCAGCUGGGCUCUCAGAGCAUGAAGUCUGUUCAAAUUAAGCUGCAAACUGUCACGGAACAGCUCCCUGGAAGAAGUAAAAAUCCAAAGGAUCAUCUUAAAAACUAAAGGCAGUUACAGCGCCUUGGUAUCUCGUGAAGGUUAGGUCUAAGGGCCUGCAGCUCAAGUGCAAUCCCACAACCACAGCACAGUUGCAGCCCCUUUAUUCCCUCCAAGCUGUGCUGUGUGCUACUGCCCAGCAUAAAACAGGCAUUGAAGCUUCCCAAGAACAAGCAGCACAUUGAUUUGCAAAGCAAUUCAAGAUAUCUAGAGGAUGAAACGGGCUAACGUGGUGAGAAGCUUAAAACAAAAGGCUUCUCUACGGUGGGUAUUUUUCCAAGGAAGUAAAGAUAAAAACAUACAGCCUCGGUGCCUCGGUACAACCAGUGCUUUAUAAGCGUGCUCACACCCCGAUGCACACAGACAGACACGGCUCUUCAAGACCAUGGGGUGAAACCUAAAGAGCGUUCCUAUGCUAACUUGUUCCUCCACGGGGAAUUAAAGCACUUCCGAGACUGAGGAAUACCUCCGCCCCGUCACACUGCCUCGCUCCUUCCUCACUCUUCCCCUCAUCCUCCGCCCAGUCACUUGGCAUUUAUUCUGUCCUAUUUUAUUUGGAUUUUCUCUGAGCAGAGUCAUUAAUCUUCCCCAUAGAUGCACGGCUCUGACAGCUGGGUCUUGACACCUCCAGUGCCAGCGAAGGACAUUCUCAUACUCUGCUCUCUUUAUUUUUUUUCCCCCUUUCUCCUUUAAAAGAAGCCCUUCAUCCCUCCCCAGCCACGGGGUUUUGAUGAGAAGGCCAGGCAGACCGAGGUCAUGCGAACUGGAGGCAAGGGGCUGUGGGGGAGGAAGGCAAGGGAAGAGGAUGCAGCUCCCACAAGGAACUCCCGGGUCCCACUGAAAAGGAGAAUGGAGUCUAACUGCAACAGAAGAAGAAAACAUCCAAUGAAGUCUAUCUAUCCAAGAACACAGCCACCUCCAGGAGUAAGACCUGGGUUUGAACAGAGCAUUGCACAAUCCAGCCCUAUCUUUAACAGCUGAGGAUCAUUCAUGCCAAGUAAGAAAAUCAGCAUUUGACACCACUGAGCACCUGGCUUGCUCACGCUGUAAACGAAUGAGAUCUGAUGUCUGGGAGAUCUUUGUACACCUCCGUCCGUGAGGAAUUUAGCCUCCCUGGCCCUAAGGAGAUCUAGGAUAAGGUUUAUAGUCACCACUAACCCCGAAAUUGAUUCCUUACCUUGCAGAAGCUUGGGCCAGCGUUGUGCUAAUCUAAAGGAAGCCCCUGAUAAGCAAUCUUACCAGCUGUCUGCUCUCCACCCUCCGAGCCUGGGUAAGCUUUCUCAGCUUCUGACUCACUCCAAGCAACUCUACGGCACUUGUUGGUCCUGCCAGCUCGCCACAUUACCGCUCUAAGGGAGAGGAGAGCACAGAAUACAUCAAAUCGUAACGAAAUUAUUGGAAAAUAUUUCUCUUUCAGCUGAGAGUGCUGUUGAUACAAUCGCCUUUUCAUUUUCUGUGAGACCGCGUGCGCUCGUACGCGUGCUUCUCCCCCAUCCCAUCUCUCAAGCUUAUGAUGUGAGCAAUCACGCGGGCUUGCUUGUCCAUUCCCAGCCCGACAAACCAUUUCCAAUAAGAUCCAUCUCCUCCUGCUCAAGGCUGUAUUGUCUUCAUAUCCUUGGAGAUCAGAUGUCUGUUCUCCUUUUUAUCACUUGAGCCGCACGUGUUUUGAUUGUAAACACCCUGAUAACACUCCUGUUAGACCCUCACAAGUGAAAUAAUAAAGGAUAGAUAACAUUUCUAGACGUGAUACUUAUACUGUCAUCCUACACUGAGAUAACAAGGAGCAGACAGCCUGUGAGUCUGUCUUACUCCGAUAAGCAUCUUGUCACCAUAGAUACUAAAGAGAUAAACUUUCUAAAAUAAUAUCCUUCUUCACGUCACUUUGCUCAAGUUGGAUAACGGAUGGUGCAAUUCCUCUCCCUUCCCACUCUAACUGCCUUUAUGGUUUCUCCCAUUCACACCACCAGCGCCCCUCACUGUGCACAGGGCCGGCAGAGCACACAGUGGCUCACAUUGCCCACCCAGGUGAGAGCAGCUGGUAGGUGCCAUCUUGUUGGAUGACGUUUUGUGGACAUCCUGAGGAAGCAGUGGAGCUCCCAAGCACACUGCCUGGCAGGCUAAAGAGCGCAUCUUUGCUUGUAAAGGGUUGUUACUCUUCAUGGCCCAGGCAAACACAGCCUAUCUGCUACAUCUCUCUGCACACAAAACCCUUCCGACAGAACAAGAGGGGCUCGUGACAGCAGCAAAACCAGGAUGGGAUGCCCCUAGUUGUAGUCAGUACAUUUCUGUCCCUUCUGUUCUCCAAGGGGAGAGGUGAAGGAUUGUGUUACUCAGCCAGGCUGCAGCUCUGUGGAGACGGUUCACACUGCUGAACACACGCUUUCUCCUAGAGAAACAGCCGUGUGGAAUGGCACAGACCUUGAAGGCAGGGACAGGAACAAACCGUGAUGCCUUAUCCCAGGGCAGGUGCUGCAGGAGCCUCCCCUCAGCACACAGUACCAGCGAGAACAGGAGAAAGCAGGGUGUGAAGGUCAGAGCCUGAAUCCUGCAGCCUUGCUCUGAC